AAUGAACGCUGGCGGCGCGCCUAAUACAUGCAAGUCGAGCGAGAAGACGUAGCAAUACGUUUGUAAAGCGGCGAACGGGUGAGGAAUACAUGGGUAACCUACCCUCGAGUGGGGAAUAACUAGCCGAAAGGUUAGCUAAUACCGCGUACGCUUCUUGGACUUCGGUUCAGGGAGGAAAGCGAUACCGUGGGUAUCGCGCUCUUGGAUGGGCCCAUGUCCUAUCAGCUUGUUGGUGAGGUAACGGCUCACCAAGGCUUCGACGGGUAGCUGGUCUGAGAGGACGAUCAGCCACACUGGCACUGCGACACGGGCCAGACUCCUACGGGAGGCAGCAGUAAGGAAUAUUGCGCAAUGGGCAAAGCCUGACGCAGCGACGCCGCGUGGGGGAU
rnacentral:rRNA from 1 species